rnacentral:rRNA from 1 species
UACAGAGGUCUCAAGCGUUGUUCGGAUUCAUUGGGCGUAAAGGGUGCGUAGGUGGCGCCGUAAGUGGGGUGUGAAAUCUCGGGGCUUAACUCCGAAACUGCAUUCGAUACUGCCGUGCUUGAGGACUGGAGAGGAGACUGGAAUUUACGGUGUAGCGGUGAAAUGCGUAGAUAUCGUAAGGAAGACCAGUGGCGAAGGCGGGUCUCUGGACAGUUCCUGACGCUGAGGCACGAAGGUCAGGGGAGCAAACGGG